GAGGUUUCUGUCAACAGUGAGAGGAAUAGUGAAGAAAUGCCUUUCUCCAUUUUGCUCUAAUUCUCCCUUGGUCCCGGCACUACGAUUGUUGCAUCCCUCCACAUCUCCUAAGCACACGGAAGACUAGAUGACGUCCUUUGGGGAGUGCGCAUUCUGAGAAAACUUACAUGAAGCAUCUAUAACCGCGCCCAGCUUAAGAUAAGGCACACCUCGUUUCACCUCUUUGUGCUUCUGCACAGAAAAUCAGACCUUCUGUUGCAAGAUGGCCCUAAGGAUUUGACAUUGAUCACCAUCAUAGAAUUGGAACUUACAAAUAUUUUUCUCUUGGUAACACUCUGCAGAUGGUUAAGAGCCAGCACGUGGUUGCUGGGGAUUGAACUCAGGACACUGUAGCUAACCAUUGUCGGUAACUCCAGUUCCCGGAACUCCAGCACUGUCUCUGCCCUCCAUGGGCAGCCCACAUGCGAGUGAUGCACACAUACAUACAAGUAAAGCACCCGCAUAGACAGCAAAACUUUGAAGAAAGAUAAUUUGUUUCCAGCAAAUCUGGACUAUAAGAAUGUCUGACAAACAACUUAAAUCAAGAAAGAGAGUUUGUUCACCUCCUGACAGACAAGAGAUGGGGAGGUGCAGAAGAAAGAGAGAAGAACAGAGAGGAAGAGAGGGGAGGGAAAAAGGAGAGGAAAGCAGUCUGGGGCAAGAAAGAUCCAAGGACCCACUGUAGUGACUUACUUCCUUCAGCUGCAAAGUGGCUAUAAGUUUCAAGUGGUCCCUGAAAGAACACCUCAGCUGGACUCAACCCCUCAAAUCACAAGCCUUUUGGAAGACCAGUUCACAUCCAAACUGAACAGUACAUUUCCUAGAACACCAAAGUCUCAUGUGCGUCUCACAAGGUAAUAUUUGGUAUACCAAGGGUUCCCAAAGCCUUAUCAGUUCAAACAUUGUUGACAAUUUAGGUUCAAUUAAGAUCUGAGACUCAAGGCAAAUUUUUACUCUUAGGCUCUAUAAAAUAAAACAAGCGGUUUUAGGCUCAUGCACAAUGAAAAUGGAUCUAGAUUCACUAUUCCUCUGCUUGAAAAAUGCCUGCAAAAUUCCAUCACUCCUUCGCAGGGACCACUUUGGGUCUCUAAGGGAGAAGGUUUCAGACCCUUGGGGGCUAAGAUAUACGUCCAAGGAGUUCUUGGGGCCUUGUAUCAACGAUUAAAGUCUGCAAAAAAUUUAUUACAAGCAGAUGUUCUGACGAUGGAAAGGAAGAGGGUUCCCUGGGAGCUCUGAAGGGUCUUUGAUCUCGAUCAUGAAUGAAAAAGUAGCAAAGGUCACAGAAAAGGCCAUUCUUUCAGUGACACAAGAGGAAUACCAUUGCAUGUCACAAAAACACGUGAGCAUGCUGAUUGAUGAAUUGCAGACAGCUAUCAAAAGCAACAGAGGUCAUCUCGCUAAGCUUGGCCCCCAAUUACAGGCUGAGCAGGAGCAGUUCUCCUCUUAUGUCUGCCAACACAUUAAAAGCCUUCCAGCAAACAGUGUGGUCCCAAGAGGCCUGCAACUCAAGAAUCCACCAGCAGCUUCAAGCUUCCUCCAUCAGUUCACGAGGCCUCCAUUUUUCUUCAGCCCGGAUUUUCGAUCAGCAUGGUCAAGAGAUUAAGAGUCCACUGCAGCUGAAGAAUGGGCAAAAAAUAAAAUGGGCUCUCUUAUGGGAAAGCAUACAGGUGGAUCCCAAUAUCAUUCUUUAUGCUUCUGUUUCCAUCAGAAAUUACCGUUCCUUAAGGAGUGAAGUGAACAGCAGGAAUCCAACAGUGUCCUGGCCUGCAGCCAGCAUGUGGCUGAUCACCAAGGGACUGACUGAGGGUUUGACACCGAUGUCCUGGGAAGUAAACCUUAUACUUUGGCAUUGACCUGCAUCUCGGAGUCUCACUUGGGGGUAUCUUGAAACAUGAAGGAGAUGAGCCAGAAGUGAAUCUUUGGAACAGAAGGCUAUAUUUAUUCUAAGAAACACAAAGCUGCCUGAGUGUUUCAGGGCCUGAGGGAGUCCAUCGGUCUCUCAGGAAAGUGAAGACCCCAGGAGCCCCAGGAGCCACAGACUCUAAACUGAAAAACCCACGAUUUUCAGCUAAGCCAGGCCGACUCCAUGGUUUUCUGCAUGGCAUGAGUUGGAAAAUAUGAGGUUUAUCCCCAGUUUGCCCUGACUUACCUGGAGGAAUUAACUGCUCAAGUGGAUGUGAGCCAGACAGAGGACAACAUUCCGCUUGGAGCCUGGACCACCACUCAUCAAGAACAGUGUGUGGAAGAGGUCGGUGUGAGAGACAGAGGGUUUGCAGAAACACAUUAGUUCUUUACUGAAGCAGCUGCCAGAGUCCUGAAACACUUAUGUCCUGCCAGAAGGCUCUCCUGAGGGGACAGAGAGACUUUCAGUGCUGCUGCUGAGGAAACUGGAAGGGAAACAUCCCAGGGCUCCUGCUCAGAGAAUCUAAACCGCAUGACGGGAAAGAAGAUAUCGACCUUUUCAUCUCUGCAGGGUGCACGCAGCACCUGAAACAUCGCCUAGCUCAAACACUAAAACCUACUGCACAUCGCUGAGUGAACCAGUUAUCAGACCCAGCCAUGUGGUCCACAGAGCGCAGAGGGACCAGUAAGCUCAGCCCAUGGAAACACUCCAGCGCUGACAAUCCUCUGUGGAACAAGCUGACAUACAUGUGGAAUUUGACUGGCCAAUAGAAGGCCUACUGAACCCAAACAGCUCUCCCAUGAAGAGGCCAGUAAGUAAGACACCAGAGCAGCAUGUCCCUGUGCGACUCAGAGUUCUAAGGAAUGGAGACAAGAAAAACAUCAGGUCCCUGGUGAUUGGCCCGGAAAUCUCACCUGGAUGGAAAUUACAAAAUGUUAAUGCUGAAAGGAAAGAGAAAAGCCAUGCCAUGAACUAUUCUGAAACAGAAAGAUACCAGAUUGAAUUUCACCAUCUUUUGGAGAGGUGCACCAAAGUUUUGAAUUUACCUUCUGCUGCUCGGAGACUUUUCAGUGAAAAAGGGAAGGAACUUUUUUCCCUGGAAGACCUACAGAGAGAUGAACUGGUAUAUGUUUCAUGUGGAGAACACUGGAUCAAUCCUGACCUCUCCAUUGCUCAACAGAAAAAGCAAGUCUUCCUAAGGAGCCUUGAGUUAGACAUUUCCAAGAUUAAAACCUUUUGCAGCAUGCACAAGGUGGAAGCUCUUGUUUUAGAAGUUCAAAGUGACCUUGCGUGCGGGGGCAAGCUUGCCGUGAAUAAACCUGCAGCAGAUUUUGAAGAGGAGAAACAAGGGAAAGAACCAAAGGGGAGGCAGCUGGGAAAUGCUGCUUUAAUAACAGGGGAUGCUCCCAGAGAGACUCUAGAUUCACAUGCGAGAGCCCAUCUCCGCAUGGAAGCCUGUCGCAGGACGCUCAAGUAUGCUUGGCAAGACCCUUCGUACAGCCUUGCUGCUGAUGGCAGCCUUCCAAAGAAAGCAGAGAAAGAGCCCUUUGAAAAUGUGCAGCCCCCAAAGAAACACAGCCAUUUCUCAAAGCAAAGCAGAUCACGGAAGCUGUGUCAUCAGGAGUUUGAAUACAGAGAUGGUCAAAUCAUUAGUCUCGCUGCUCCUCAGCUGGUCCUGGGAGUACAAGGCCCCAAACCCCGUUCAGGCACAGAGGUCAUUUUGGUGGAAAAGAAAUCUGAUGAAAGUCACCAACACUGGACACACAAGACAGAUGGCAGGACCUUUCAUCUGGUGAGUAACCCAGACCUCGUACUGGCAGUGUCUAUGACCAAAGCUAAAAGUGAAGCCUGUGGCUAUCCAGUUAUCAUUCAGAAAUAUAAACCAUACAGCAAUGGGGCUGCCAAUCAGAAGUGGGAUUACAUGGAAAAGGAGAGAGCAUUCACAGCCUUCCACAGCACAGCCCUGGACAAGCAAAUCACCGCGGCUAAUUCUUCUGGCCUUUGCACGUCUUCUGUCACUAAAGAAAACAUCGAACAACCUGGAUACUCUUAUAUCUCACCCGAUGGAAAGAGAAAACUCAUGCUCUGCCUGGCUUGCGGAAGGUCCCUGAGGGCAAAACUGGAGCUGAAGGAGCUGCUUCCCAGGGCUUCAUUCCUCUGUGUUUCAGGCUCGGAGCAGAAGUUCGAGCUACCCGGGCCUUUCAAGGUCAUCAGUGUUGCCAAGGCUGAUUUAUCUUCUUCCGAAGCUGAAGACACUCUAAGAUAUUAUGAAAAGCGUCUGUCAUCUUUACGGAUGAAGACACGAGCAUGCAGUGCAUCUCACGUUGGUGUGGCAGCUUCGUGCCAGAAGGCGGUGAAAAUCAUCGCAUACAAAAAUGGGAAUGGAUAUCGGAAUGGGAAGUUGAUUGUGGCUGGAACAUUCCAUGGGCUUCUUGCAGAGUGCACAGAACGACUUCAGCUCACCAGAUCGGCUUCCAAAAUCUACACCAGAGAUGGAACUACCAUCCUCACCUUGCAUGGCUUGGUUCUGUGGGCUAUAAGAGAAAAACUUACCCAGAGAGACCCUAGCGGGCAAGAGAAAAGCACGGAGUCUGUUGGGACAGAAGACAUAGCUGUUCAAAAUACAGAAGAAAGCUCAGGAAGGAGAACGGAGAGCAGAUUGGAUUUUGUGGAGGGCAUAGAUAAGUCCCUGCUUGCUCAUGUCCUCAGAAGCCCUGUUGCUGUGUGGGUGUCUUGUGGUGAGCCGUUUCUGCCUCUAAAUGCUCCAUGGAAAUCAGAAAAAUUAAAGAAACAAAACUGGCUGAAGAGGGCCAAAGGUUUGGCUGAAUUGGACACCAUGAAACACAAGGUGCGACAGUUGAAAGGGCGGCGAGUAGCAGCCUGUCAGCCAGCCGUGAUGGUCCCCACCGGAAGCCCUCUGCAGCCAGUAGUAGUUGAAGGAGGCUGGACUGAGCAGACUCAAGAGGAAACAAAGCUCGUGGAACUGAUAAGACAGACAGAGGCACACCUUUCUGAAGGCCAAGAACUACAGUCCAGGCGCUCUCUGACGGAAGCUCAACGUGCAGCAGAGAGUCAGCACAGCCUGUACCAGGCUCCCCGAGUGAAACGAGUGUGGGCUUACCAGAAUGGAGGCAGACCCGAGGAUGGCACGUAUGUCUGUGCCAGUGCUUUUCCAGAGUUGCUGGAUGAUUGCACGGCUCGUCUGAAAAUGUCCCACCCAGCCAAAACCCUUUAUACCUCAAAUGGGGAGCUCAUUCAGUCAUGGGACGAAAUAGAGAAGGGUAUGGCUGUCUGCGUGUCCGCAGGACAUGGCUUUAUAACCUCCAAAGAAAAAAAGAAAAUGAUGGAAGUGAAAGCAAAUUAUGUCAGGAUCCGAAGGCAGCAGGGCCCUGAGGCAACAGACAUUGUGGUGUUUCCAUCCAGGCAGCUACUGUCUCUCCUGCAGCUUCCCAGCUGACUUCAACCAGAACCUCUUACCUUUUGCUGGAUUUUACUCAUAGAGUUGAUUGUGCAUUCUCAUAAGCUCCUAUCAUAUCAUGUGCCAUGAUAAUUCUCUGUCUCUCUUAACUUGUACACAGUCUCUUUUGUACUCUGCAGUGGGAUUUGAACCUAGUAGUUGACUGUAUACUGAGCAUUGUGCUUGUGAGCUGUCCCCCCAGCUCUCUUAAACAAUCACUUUUUUUAAAGAUUAGUAGUUUCCACAUUUUAUGUGAAGUAACAUUGGAUUCCUCAUUCCUGUUCCUGGAAAGGCAACAAACUUAGACAAAUAAUACAAGUAAGAUGGUCGUCUUAGAUGAACAUUAUUUGAGAAAGUAAACCACUAGUUAUUGAAACCUAACCCUCAAGUGACUGGAGGCCCCAGGAAGUUUAGAGGUCUGCUGGGGUGGGAACAUCCUGGAGACAUGGGGGGACAGACAGGGAGGAGGUAUGGGAUGUGGAACUGUUGGGGGAAGGAGGUGGGAGAGGAAUAAAAUCUGGAGUGUAAAAAUAAAUAAAUAAAUAAAAUUUUAAAAAAGCAAAUGUUCAAUAAAAAAAGUAACUUAAAGGGAUCAAGGAAUUUACAUAUAUGGAUGUGUGUGUGUGUUUGUGUGUAUGUUUUUGUGUGUGUAUGUGUGUGUGUAUGUAUGUGUGUAUGUGCAUGUGUGUGUUUGUGUGU